GAGAAAUUCUGGCUAUGAAUUCAAGAAUCCAAGAACCAAAGACGUCGAGUUUGAAAGUAGUCAGGCUGAGAAGUUCCAUCAUCUGCCGUCUGCAGGCUGGAGAAUCAGGAAAGCUGGUGGUGUAAUUCAGUCUGAGUCUGAAGAUCUGAGAACCAAGAGGGAGAGAGAACACAGUUAGAAGUUAUGGUUUUCUGCAGAGAAUAAGGGAGAAACUGGAAAUGAAGAAUGUUCUUAAAAGGUCAAAAUCGGCAAUAACCACCAAGGGCAAUGGGAGAGGAAACUAACUAGAUAGGUGGAG